rnacentral:rRNA from 1 species
UACAGAGGUCUCAAGCGUUGUUCGGAUUUAUUGGGCGUAAAGGGCGCGUAGGCGGCGGGGUAAGUCGGGUGUGAAAUCUCAGGGCUCAACCCUGAAACUGCACUUGAUACUGCUCUGCUUGAGGACUGGAGAGGAGACUGGAAUUCACGGUGUAGCAGUGAAAUGCGUAGAUAUCGUGAGGAAGACCAGUGGCGAAGGCGGGUCUCUGGACAGUUCCUGACGCUGAGGCGCGAAGGCCGGGGGAGCAA